GCGGGCGUAGCUCAUCGGUAGAGCGUCACGUUGCCAUCGUGGAUGUGGAGGGUUCGACUCCCUCCGCCCGCU
rnacentral:tRNA from 1 species